CGGAGGGUGCAAGCGUUAUCCGGAUUCACUGGGUUUUAAGGGAGCGCAGGUGGCUUUGUAAGUCAGUGGUGAAAUAUUGCGGCUCAACCGCAAAACUGCCAUUGAUACUGCUUAGCUUGAAUCACGUCGAGGUGGAUGGAAUAAUACAUGUAGCGGUGAAAUGCUUAGAUAUGUAUUAGAACACCGAUUGCGAAGGCAGUUCACUAGGCGUGUAUUGACACUGAGGCUCGAAAGCGUGGGGAUCAAACAGGAUUAGAUACCCUGGUAGUCCACGCCCUAAACGAUGUAAACUCGACAUUAGCGAUAUACUGUUAGUGUCCAAGCGAAAGCGUUAAGUUUACCACCUGGGAAGUACGACCGCAAGGUUG
rnacentral:rRNA from 1 species